ACGAGCGGCGAACGGGUGAGUAACACGUGGGUGAUCUGCCCUGCACUCUGGGAUAAGCUUGGGAAACUGGGUCUAAUACCGGAUAUGACCACAGCAUGCAUGUGUUGUGGUGGAAAGAUUUAUCGGUGCAGGAUGGGCCCGCGGCCUAUCAGCUUGUUGGUGGGGUAAUGGCCUACCAAGGCGACGACGGGUAGCCGACCUGAGAGGGUGACCGGCCACACUGGGACUGAGACACGGCCCAGACUCCUACGGGAGGCAGCAGUGGGGAAUAUUGCACAAUGGGCGGAAGCCUGAUGCAGCGACGCCGCGUGAGGGAUGAAGGCCUUCGGGUUGUAAACCUCUUUCAGCAGGGACGAAGCGUGAGUGACGGUACCUGCAGAAGAAGCACCGGCUAACUACGUGCCAGCAGCCGCGGUAAUACGUAGGGUGCGAGCGUUGUCCGGAAUUACUGGGCGUAAAGAGUUCGUAGGCGGUUUGUCGCGUCGUUUGUGAAAACCCGGGGCUCAACUUCGGGCUUGCAGGCGAUACGGGCAGACUUGAGUGUUUCAGGGGAGACUGGAAUUCCUGGUGUAGCGGUGAAAUGCGCAGAUAUCAGGAGGAACACCGGUGGCGAAGGCGGGUCUCUGGGAAACAACUGACGCUGAGGAACGAAAGCGUGGGUAGCAAACAGGAUUAGAUA
rnacentral:rRNA from 1 species